rnacentral:rRNA from 2 species
AGUGAAGAAGGGUUUCGGCUCGUAAAACUCUGUUGUUAAAGAAGAACAUAUCUGAGAGUAACUGUUCAGGUAUUGACGGUAUUUAACCAGAAAGCCACGGCUAACUACGUGCCAGCAGCCGCGGCAAUACGUAGGUGGCAAGCGUUGUCCGGAUUUAUUGGGCGUAAAGCGAGCGCAGGCGGUUUUUUAAGUCUGAUGUGAAAGCCUUCGGCUUAACCGAAGAAGUGCAUCGGAAACUGGGAAACUUGAGUGCAGAAGAGGACAGUGGAACUCCAUGUGUAGCGGUGAAAUGCGUAGAUAUAUGGAAGAACACCAGUGGCGAAGGCGGCUGUCUGGUCUGUAACUGACGCUGAGGCUCGAAAGUAUGGGUAGCAAACAGGAUUAGAUACCCUGGUAGUCCAUACCGUAAACGAUGAAUGCUAAGUGUUGGAGGGUUUCCGCCCUUCAGUGCUGCAGCUAACGCAUUAAGCAUUCCGCCUGGGGAGUACGGCCGCAAGGCUGAAACUCAAAGGAAUUGACGGGGGCCCGCACAAGCGGUGGAGCAUGUGGUUUAAUUCGAAGCUACGCGAAGAACCUUACCAGGUCUUGACAUACUAUGCAAAUCUAAGAGAUUAGACGUUCCCUUCGGGGACAUGGAUACAGGUGGUGCAUGGUUGUCGUCAGCUCGUGUCGUGAGAUGUUGGGU